rnacentral:lncRNA from 1 species
GCCUGUCGUGCCUUGUACGCCACAAGAACAGUCAUUGUAAUGUUGUUUGCAUACCGCGCAAUAACAUACACAAGGUUUUCCUCUGCAAUAUGGGCAAAUUCCAUCAUCCUCCUUUUUACAAAAACAUCUAUUAGGCAAGCUGCGGCAUGUAUCACACUUCUUCGCAGUACAUUCUCUCAUUUUAUGUCCCUGCUCAUCACAACCCUCACAAAUUAGCUGUGGACAUUGUCUGUACUUGUGAUGAGGGGAUCCACACUUAUUACACAAUGUCCUUUGAUGAUUAUGAACAACACGAAAAAAUUUCGGUCCUAAACCUGUUUCAAAUUUCAUUGACCACGGCAAUGAAACC